rnacentral:rRNA from 1 species
AUGGCGAGACUAACCUUCGCCGCCGGCGCUGGCGCCGUGGUGGUGGUAGCCACCGCGUGGCUCCUCGCCUCUGCUGGCGUAGCGGCCGGGGACCCGCCGCUCUCACCCAAAGGUCUCAACUAUGAAGUGGCGGCGCUGAUGGCGGUGAAGAGCCGGAUGCGGGACGAGAAGGGGGUGAUGGCCGGGUGGGACAUCAACUCCGUCGACCCCUGCACCUGGUCAAUGGUCGCCUGCUCCCCCGACGGAUUCGUCGUCUCGCUGCAGAUGGCUAACAACGGAUUGGCGGGGGCUCUGUCGCCGAGCAUCGGGAACCUCAGUUACCUGCAGACAAUGUUACUACAGAAUAACAGAAUAUCUGGUGAAAUUCCUCCAGAGAUAGGGAAGCUGGCCAAUCUGAAAGCUCUUGAUCUUUCAGGUAACCAGUUUAUUGGUGAAAUCCCGAAUUCACUGGGGCAGCUGACUCAACUAAAUUAUUUGCGCCUUGAUAAGAAUAACUUGUCUGGACAGAUCCCUAUAGAUGUUGCGAAGCUUCCAGGUCUCACAUUCCUUGACAUAUCAUUCAACAAUUUAAGUGGUACAGUUCCAAAAAUCUAUGCACAUGACUACAGUCUCGUGGGAAACAAGUUCCUUUGCAAUUCCUCAAUUCUACAUGGCUGCACACAUCUUAAUGGAGGAACUAACGAUACAGUGUCUAGACCGUCAAAUAAAACGAAGAACCAUCAUCAAUUAGCAUUGGCAAUUUCCUUAAGUGUCACCUGUGCCACAAUCUUUGUCCUGUUCUUUGUAUGCUGGCUAAACUACUGCAGAUGGCGUUUGCCUUUUGCUUCUUCUGAUCAAGAUCUUGAAAUGGAACUGGGUCAUCUGAAGCAUUUUUCAUUUCACGGCCUGCAAAGUGCAACAGACAAUUUUAACUCAAAGAAUAUAUUAGGCCAAGGCGGUUUUGGUGUUGUUUAUAAAGGCUGUCUCAGAAAUGGAACUUUAGUGGCAGUCAAGAGGUUAAAAGAUCCCGAUGUUACUGGUGAAGUCCAAUUCCAGACAGAACUUGAGUUGAUUGGCCUAGCUGUGCACAGGAACCUUUUGCGCUUGUAUGGAUUUUGCAUGACCUCGAAAGAAAGGUUGCUCGUAUAUCCAUAUAUGCCAAAUGGCAGUGUUGCUGACCGCUUGAGAGAGUAUCAUCAUGGAAAACCUUGUCUUGAUUGGAGUAAACGUAUGCAAAUUGCUAUUGGGGCUGCCAGAGGACUACUAUAUCUUCAUGAACAAUGCAAUCCUAAGAUCAUUCACAGGGAUGUCAAAGCGGCAAACAUAUUGCUUGAUGGAAGUUUUGAAGCAGUCGUUGGGGAUUUUGGAUUGGCAAAACUACUUGACCGACAAGAUUCGCAUGUUACUACUGCAGUUCGGGGAACUGUUGGUCAUAUUGCUCCAGAGUAUCUCUCAACAGGGCAGUCUUCAGAAAAGACCGACGUUUAUGGGUUUGGUAUUCUACUGUUGGAACUGAUCACUGGACCUAAAACCUUGAGCAACGGACAUGGUCAGUCCCAGAAGGGGAUGAUUAUAGAUUGGGUUAGAGAACUCAAUGAGGAAAAGAAACUGGACAAACUAGUGGACAGGGAUCUCAAAGAUUCGUUCGAUGUAGCCGAGCUAGAGUGUGCAGUAGGCGUGAUUCUCGAAUGUACCCUCACCAACCCUAUUCUGCGGCCCAAGAUGUCAGAAGUUCUCCAGGCCCUUGAAUCUAAUGUGACGCUGGCAGAGAAUGGUGUGGACUUGAAUAGAGAAGCGCUGCUGCCUUAUGGAGGCUCUUGCAGUUUCUCUGUGAGACAUGAGGAUCCUCACGACUCAUCGUCCUUCAUAAUAGAGCCAAUUGAGCUAUCCGGUCCUAGAUGA